GACAGAACUAGAGCUGGCUCGAACUUUGCUUGUGAGAUAGAUGUGUAUAUUUUCCAUGGUGUGGAUGUAAUAAAACACUCAAAAUUAUUCAACGAACAAUUAAAUCAAUAAAUUAACAUGUAACAAUGUAUAUAAUAUAUUAUUUACAUCAAUAAUCAUAGUAACUGACAUAACCUAUAACCUAUUAUGAAACAGUAACUCGGGUUAUAAUUUUUGUAUAGUGAUAAUUAAUUGACAGAAUCACAUGUUUAGUUUUCGGAAUGAAUAUGUCACACAAAAUAUAGAACAAAAUCACAAGCUUAGUAAUGUUAAUUAUCAUUAGAGGAUAAAAUAAGCUCAUGAGUUUUUUUCUUAAGAUAACUUGGUCUUUGGUUCCCCAGGCAACUGUCAUUGUAGCAGAAAAAUUAAGGUAUCAUGUGAGCCAGAGUGAAAUUAUUACAAAACAUAAUUUUAUCAAGAGUAUGAUUUAUUACAUUGUAAUUGGAACCUUUACUGGACCUGAUUCUUUUUUUAUCAAGCAAGCAAUUGGUCUACUCCGUGAAUUCGCCGGAGGAACGUUUACGAUUCGUGAUUCAUGAUUCAUGUUUUAAACAAAAAAAUUAUUGUAAACUUAUCACAGCAAUAAUUUUAGGAAAUUUUAAAAAGUCUUUCACAUGAGUAGGCAUGAUUGAAAAGACUAAAAUUAUAAGAGCGUUGAUUUAUUAUUUAUUAAUAAAGUGAAAAAUAAAAAGAAUAUUAAUAUAAAUAACUCAGCAUGGCAAUAGGAAGUGUUAUUUGUGGAGUAAAUACUCCAAAAACAAAAAGAAAGAAAAACAAGACUCAAGAACGCAGUUGGAUAGAAGCGACAUUUCAAAAAAGAGAAUGUACGAAAUUUAUACCAAGCGCAAAAGAUGAGCACAGGCUCGAAGAAGUUCGGGGAGAUAAAUCUGCCGAGUACGAUGUAGUCACGUCUUCCAGAUGUUGUUGUGGUCAUUCCUAUACUCAUCAUUGUGGGACAGGGGCAGACGUACAAAAUUAUGCAACUGGAAAUGCAGCUGAAGUAGAAAGGGAUCAGUGGUCACCAGGAAAAAAUACACGUUCUUUAGCUACUGAUGCAUAUGGUACUAUCGAGUUUCAAGGUGGCCCUCAUCCUACUAAAGCUCAAUAUGUUCGACUAUCCCACGACACUCGACCAGAGCCAAUAGUUCAACUUUUAUGUCGCGAAUGGAAUUUAGGUUUACCAAGAUUAUUGAUAACCGUUCAUGGGGGUAGAUCUAAUUUUGAACUUCAGCCAUCUUUGAAAAAGGUAUUACGUAAAGGGCUUUUAAAGGCCGCUAAGACUACUGGAGCAUGGAUAUUUACAGGAGGGACAAAUACUGGCGUUACACGUCAAGUAGGCGAUGCUUUGUUAUUAGAACGUGCACAACGUCAAGGUCGUGUUGUCAGUAUAGGAAUUGCACCUUGGGGAAUACUUGAAAAAAACCACGAAUUAGUAGGACGAGGAAAUGAAGUCCCUUAUGACUCAAUAUCAUCUCCGUGGUCAAAAUAUGCGGUCUUAAAUAAUCGUCAUGCUUACUUUUUGCUUGUCGAUAAUGGUACUGGUGGGCGAUAUGGCGCUGAAAUAGUAUUACGACGGAAACUCGAAAAAUAUAUAUCAAAUUUAAAAUUACAACCAUAUACCCAUAGUAGCAUUCCAGUCGUUGCAUUAGUUAUUGAGGGUGGAACUAAUACUGUUAGAUCGGUUCUCGAAUACGUUACUGAUGAUCCUCCUGUUCCCGUAGUUGUUUGCGAUGGAACGGGACGGGCUGCAGAUAUUAUUGCUUUCAUGCAUAAGUAUGCAGUUGAGGGCGAUAGUGAUAGUACAGGUGAUGUCCGUUUGGAAAGUAUGAAAGAACAUUUAUUCGAAAAAAUUAAAGAUACUUUUAAAGUUUCGCAAGAUCAAGCAGCACAAUUAUAUUCUGAAUUACUUCAAUGUACUCGUAAAAAACAUUUAAUCACUGUGUUCAGGAUAACUCAAGAUGGACCACAUGAACUUGAUCAAACAAUUUUGACUGCAUUAUUCAAAUCACAACAAUUAUCUCCAACUGAACAAUUAUCAUUAGCGCUCAUAUGGAAUAGAGUUGAUAUUGCUCGUAGUGAAAUUUUUGUUUAUGGUCAAAAAUGGCCGCCUGGUUCCUUAGAACAGGCAAUGAUGCAAGCUUUACAACACGAUAGAAUUGAUUUUGUAAAACUUCUUCUUGAAAAUGGCGUAUCAAUGAGAAAAUUUUUAUCUAUACCACGUUUGGAAGAAUUAUACAAUACCAAAGAAGGACCAUCAAAUACAUUAGGUUAUAUUCUCCGAGAUGUACGACCACACAUUCCUCGUGGUUAUAUGUAUACCCUUCAUGAUAUUGGUCUUGUUAUCAAUAAACUCAUGGGUGGAGCAUAUCGAGCUCAAUAUACUCGUAGAAAAUUCCGAAUGGUUUACGCCAAAGUUAUGAAGCGUUCAGGAAUUCAUAAUAUGUCAGCCCAUCGAAACAGUACGGCUGUAGCAAUGGCACGUUAUUAUACGGGAUUCGGAGAAAAGUCUCAUGGUUUAACUAUGAGUCUAUUAGCUGAAACACUGCCAGCAAAUCGAGAUACACCUUUAUUUGAUUAUCCGUUUAAUGAAUUACUCAUAUGGGCUGUGUUAACAAAACGACAGCAAAUGGCACUUUUAAUGUGGCAACAUGGCGAAGAAGCUUUAGCGAAGGCUCUUGUUGCUUUAAAAUUAUAUAAAGCUAUGGCCCAUGAAGCAGCUGAAGAUGAUCUAGAAACUGAAGUUUAUGAUGAGCUCCGUGGUUACGGAAAAGAAUUUGAAAAUAUUGCUUUGGAAUUGUUAGAUUAUUGCUAUCGACAAGAUGAUGACCAAACUCAACAGCUAUUAACUUCUGAACUUCAAAAUUGGUCUGGACAAACUUGCUUAUCCCUUGCAGUAACAGCUAACCAUCGACCGUUACUAGCUCAUCCAUGCAGUCAGAUUAUUUUAGCAGAUUUAUGGAUGGGUGGUCUGCGAACACGAAAAAAUACGAAUUUAAAGGUGGGUCUUGGAUUGCUAUUUCCGCCAUAUAUAGCACAACUAGAAUUUAAGACUCGAGAAGAGCUGCAGUUGAUGCCUCAGACGCAAGAAGAACAUUUAAUUGCUUUAGAAGAUGAAAAUGAGGACAGUGAAUCAGAGCACGGUGCUUCACCAGGACCAGACGUUGAGAAACGGCCACGCAGAAGUCUCAGUAUUUGCAACAAACCUGACAAUCAACCAGGCAUAAAGGCUCUGAUAACCAAUGAGCAUAAUCCUGCCAUCAUCAAAGAAACAAUAGUUCAAGAAAAUGGCAAAGUUCUCACUGAAAUAGAUGACAAUCUUCAUCGGCCUUAUGGUAUUUUAUCAGAGUAUUAUGAUAAUAAAACUAACAGGCCAUUACGUCUAAAAAAAAAGUUAUGGGAAUUUUAUACAGCACCAAUAACUAAAUUUUGGGCAAAUGCCAUAGCAUACAUACUAUUUCUGAUUUUUUUCUCGUAUUCUAUCCUCGUUCGAAUGGAAGAAUAUCCAGGAUGGACAGAAAUUUAUUCAAUAGCUUAUAUAUGCACAUUGGGAUGUGAAAAAAUUCGAGAAAUCGCAACAUCGGAACCCGCUACUUUAUCACAUAAAUUUAGCGUUUGGUCAUGGAAUAUGUGGAAUCCAUGUGAUGCUGGCGCUAUAAUUAUAUUCAUUAUUGGUUUAGGACUCAGAUUUCGUCAAUCAACAUUUGAUUAUGGUCGUGUCAUCUACUGCGCGGAUAGUAUAUAUUGGUAUCUUAGAAUUCUCAAUAUUCUUGGUGUCAAUAAAUAUCUUGGUCCGUUGGUUACUAUGAUGGGUAAAAUGGUGAAAAAUAUGAUAUACUUUGUUGUUCUUUUACUUGUGGUGUUGAUGAGUUUUGGGGUAGCAAGGCAGGCAAUUUUAAAUCCCAAUGCAGAACCGAAAUGGCAAAUCCUUCGAGAUAUAUUUAUGGAGCCGUAUUUUAUGCUUUAUGGAGAAGUGUAUGCAAACAAUAUCGAUCCUGAGUGUGGCGAAGAACCUAGUAUGAAACCGUGUUCACCAGGUCGAUGGAUAACGCCAGCCGCUAUGUCGAUUUAUUUAUUAGUAGCUAAUAUUCUCUUGAUAAAUCUUUUGAUAGCUGUUUUUAACAAUAUUUUUAUUGAAGUAAAUGCGGUAGCUCAUCAAGUAUGGAUGUUUCAAAGAUUUACUGUAGUAAUGGAAUAUGAGCAAAAACCUGUUUUACCUCCUCCAUUUAUUGCAGUAAGUCAUCUAUACUUAUUAGGCAAAUAUUUAUUACGGUAUAUAACACAAGGUGAAAUGCGCUCUGGAGAAACGUAUGAUAAUGGUUUAAAGCUUUUCUUAGAGGCUGACGAUAUGGAGCGUUUAUAUGAUUUUGAGGAAGAUUGUGUCGAAGGUUACUUUAGAGAGCAAGAAUUAAAGCUUCAAAUGUCAACGGAGGAACGUGUUAAAGUUACAACUGAGAGAGUAGAAAAUAUGCAUCAAAAAAUUGAAGAUAUUGAUAAAAAAGAACACAAUCAGAAUGCUUCACUACAAGCUGUUGAAUUUCGUAUUCGAAAACUUGAAGAUCUAAACGAACAAACUCUAGCUUGUCUUGGUGUUAUUCAUCGUUUUAUGGCAACUCAUAUGUCUGAUGAAAAUUUAGCUAAUCUAGAUGGUGAAACGCGUCCAAGAAGAUUUUCUGAGAGAUCUGAAUUGGUAUCUGAUACUGAGUCUCAUACUCAUAUUCCCACUGUAUUACGACAGAAACGUUUAAUACGAUCAUUAACUGAUGCAACAGUGCUUCACAGCCCAUUUGUUGACGACGAAACUUUAAAACACUCAGAGACUUUAACAUCUCGUGAAAAUCUUAGCAGAAAUGGAUCUUCUUCUAGUGGUGAUAUUCCUACAACAGGACCAGAUGAUAAGAAAACAUUAACAACUAGUCAAGAAGAAAGUGCUGAAAGUAAAGAUAUUAAUGAACCUGAAUUGAAACCACUGAGGCGAGAAGUUGAACGAGAUACAAGUAGCGAUAUAGCAAUAUCAGAUAUGCGGCAAGAUUCUUCAGAACGCCCGACUAGACAAAGCAGUCGAACUCGAUCAGAAUCUGAUGAUGCUGUAUUGCUUGCACCACCUUGUUUACAACGAGGAAUUAAAUGGGGUGAACCUCGUGUUGCGAUGAUCCCUCCAGGAUCUUCUGGUGGAUCUAAUCAAAGGUCACUUUUACGAGCUAUGCGUGCUGAGUACACCAGUAUUACUGAUGAAUUAGAGAGUUACUGUGGGCUUUUAAGUCCUCCGCGAACUCCUCCAGUAUCUCCUCCACCUUGUAGAUCAAAAAAUGCUGUCGCAAUGAAUCCAGAAAUGGCAUGGCAAAUGGAAAAUGAACACUUACGUGAUGCUGAAGAAUGUGAUUAUCAACAAAUGGAGGAUCUUAUUCAUAGAAGAUACAUGAGAAGUAGUGAUGAAGAUUCAGAUAAUGAAGAAACCUCUAAAUUUAAAUUUAGUGUUACCAAUGAACAUAGAAUGUUGCGCAGAUCAUCAGCUAUUGAUGAAGAAUCACGAAGACCACCACCAACUAUUAGCGUUACACGGGAAAUCGAACAGACAUUGUCGAGACCACCAGCUAUACGUGAAGCUGAUGAUAAAGAUCCAACUGAUGAAGGAACUGUGCCUGCACCAGCUUCCGAAACUAUGUGUUAAUUUUACAGCAUUAACACAUUAACGUAAUACUUUGGAAUGGCCCAUUUUCUAAAAUAUCAACUUUACAUGAAUGAUGAGGACUGAUAAUUCUUUAAAUACAUAUUGAUAUGUAUUUUCUUUUAAUUAUGCUGCAUUUCAUUUGAUAAGUACCGUUUAUAAUACGGCAAUAUAAUUCUAAAAAGGUUCGUUAUUCUUGACUGAUUCGAGAAUACUGUCCAUUAAUUAAUGAAAUGUUUUAUCAGUAUAUUUAUAUUAAAUUUUAUAUAUGUUUUUUUUUAGGAUUUAGUUAGUCAUGAAAGUGGUUUUUAAUUAUUACUUGAAUAUUUUUAUAGCUACAUUUUUAAUGUGCAUGUAUGAAAUAGAUAAAAAUAUAAAUCUUCGUAACUCAAAUAUCAAAAAUCAACGAAAAAACAAAAGCUUUCGUCUAGAAAAUAUUAAGUAUCAUAUUUUCAGUUAAUUAUAAACAUCAUUAUAAAUUCUAGUCUUUAUAUUGUUAUAUAAUUGAAAUAUUCUACAAUUGCUCAAUAGUCACGUGUAAUCUACUUUGAAUUGAAUUUAAACUAAUUGUACAUAGAAAAUCAACUUUUAAUUUAUUAUUUGCUUUAUUAUAUAUCAGUUUUUAACUUGAAUGUAAUUUUAUAAUCAUUUUUUUCAAAAGCUUUUUACCUACUGACUAUGCUCAAAUCUAUUGUAUUUUAAGACACCUUGUAAAUAAUCUAGUAAAAAUUUUCAGCCGCACUUUUUUUAAAUUUAAUUACCAUAAAGCAUGAAAAUAAACAUUUUUCAACACUUUUAAAUGCUUGUUAAGCUUUAUCGUGCUUCAUCUAUAGAUCAUUGUUUCUACUUUAUCUAUACGAAAAAUUUACACAAAAAAAUAUUUUUUUAAUCUUAUAGUCUCUAUAAUAAUUUUAAGCCUGCAAAAAUUCCAAAUUUUAUUUCGUGAAAUGAUAGUUCUAGGAUUGUCUUUUAAAACAAUAUUUUAAAAAAGCUUUAGUACUUAAUUAAUUAUCGAUUAUUAUGUAAAAUCUUAAUUUGUAAAAUUAAACACUUAAAAUAAAGAGUUAUAAAACUCCAGUACUUUGAAUGAUGACAAAGUUUUUCAAGCUUAAAAUUAAUUAUUUUAAUUAUAAGAUGAUAAUAACAUUCUUGGAUACACCAAAUUAUCUGUCGAUAAGUUUAUAUUAAUUGCUUAGAGAAGAAAUGGAAUUUUUUUAUUGAACAUCACAGAAAAACCUUAACUCCAUAUAAAAAAAUUCUGAAAUAAUGGGCUGAAUUCCAGAGUACAUAUGUCGUAUUUUAAGCUUCGUAAUUAAUUUAAAAAAGAAAUUAAUAAAAAAAAAUCUCGAAUUCUUUUAGUUAUUAAAGAACGAUUCCGGCCCAUAUGAGUUGUAAAGAUCAUUAAAUGUUACGUUUAUAAUUUGAUUUUGAAAUAAGUACUAUUAAUGUAUAAAAUUAUGAUUCUUGUACUUUCAUGAUAUGGUUUUACACGAUUUUAUUACAUCAUAUGGAAAUUGUAUAUAUUUUAUUUGACUUUUGUUUCUGUGUAAUCAUCUGUUUUAAAAUAAUGUAUGCAUAGGUAUAUAUUUUGUGUGACAUGAAUAAUGUUUAUUAUUAUUAUUAUUUUUUAUUAUUUUCAUUAUUAUUGUCACUACUUAGAUCAGUCUAAACUAUUUUUAUGAUAUAUAACAAAAAUGGUAUGUUCGAUUAACUGAUUUUAAAUUCUUAUAACAAAGUAAUAAAAUGAAAAAACCACUGAAAAAAAAGUACAAAAAAAAAAAUCGGAUUAGAAGAUUCAAAUUUUACCUAUUACCAUAGAGUAGGUCAUAGACUAUUAUGUAAUCGUAAUAUCAUUAAUUUCAAACUAGUUAUAUUUUGGUGUAUAAAUCUUAAAAUAGCAUAUAUUUAUAGAAAAAAUCAGAUAUAAUUUAUUAUAAUUAAAAUUUGCUCCAAUAUGUUUAAAAAAGUAUUAAAAAUUCUCAUUAUCUUUGAUUAAUUAAUAAAAAAUUUUUGAAAUCCUAAUGAAAACAAACAUAUUCUAAUUGAAGAACAAACAUUCAUCAUAUUUUACGAACUGUUGUUCUUCAUUGUUUUUUUAAAUUAUUGAUAAAAUGAAACUGCCAAUUUUUUCACGAUAUAAUCAAUUUUGUAUAAUUAUAUAUUGUAUUUCAACGUAAUUAACAAACAUAUUUAUAUCUUUAACUAUACUACAAUACUAUAUUUAAUAAAAUGUAUCUGAAUAUAAUUAUUAAGUAAUCCGACUUACUAUGAUUAGUGUUUUAUCUCAAAUCAAAAACCGACUUGGCCUUGGUAUUAAAUAUUUUACUUUUAAAUCUAACCAUAUUUUUUUAACCAUUAAGUAUAUUUAAAGUACAAGUUGAAAAAAAUUCCGUUUUAGUAAAACUACUCCAAUAAAUUUCCAAGGACUUCCUUUUUUAGUAUAUUUUGAAUAGUUUAUUCAUAAGAUAAAUAAAUUAGUUGAUAUAAUUUUUAUAACUUCAUGUAUAGAAUCAAAUUUAAUUUAAGUCGUUUAUUUUAUCAAUUUUUGGCUAAAAUUAUUUAAAUUGCUUUAUUUAUCAAAUAAGAUUUUUUCUGUUUUUCACCUUAUUCAAUGACAUGUAUUGAACGUGUAAUUAUUUGAAUAUCUUGAUAAUUAAAUAAAUAAUAAAUGUAGAAUUUUACUUAAAUUAUUAGUAUUAUUUGUUCAGUGCCAUUAGACACAAAAUAAAAUGAAGACAAUCAAAAAUAAUGAGAAUUAUAAUACACCAAAAACAUAGGCAGAAUAUACAUGCCUUCUAUCACGAACAACAAAAACUAAAGAGCUCAAAUACUUGGUAUUCUUGCUGAGACGAUAUUUUAUGAAAAAAAAAUUGUAAUAAACUUGAAAUUAAAUAUUGAAUUGAAAUAAAAUAUUGCAAUUUUGAAAAUGUGUUGAUGUUCCGCAAUAAUUAUAUUUAUAAAACAAUAGUCUUUCAGAGAUUAUAUUUGACAUAUCGAUUAGUUAAAUAAACUGUCGUUAAGUGUAUAUAUAUCUAUAUGUGCAAAUAUACAUAAGUAUUACACGAAAAUCAACGAGAUAACUGACGCAAUAGUAACCAUAAAUUACUAGAAUCACUUUUUGUUUAAAACAUUUUAAAUGAAUAAAAACUAUGUAACAAUUA
rnacentral:misc_RNA from 1 species